AAGGAGUUAGUUAAUUAUAACAUUAGAAUGUCAAUCUAAAAUCACUUAAUAAAGUACACCUUG
rnacentral:tRNA from 1 species